GACGAACGCUGGCGGCGUGCUUAACACAUGCAAGUCGAACGGAAAGGCCCUGCUUUUGUGGGGUGCUCGAGUGGCGAACGGGUGUGUAACACGUGAGUAACCUGCCCUUGACUUUGGGAUAACUUCAGGAAACUGGGGCGAAUACCGGGUAUGAGCUCCUGAUGCAUGGUGGGGGUUGGAAAGUUUCGGCGGUUGGGGAUGGACUCGCGGCUUAUCAGCUUGUUGGGGGGGUAGUGGCUUACCAAGGCUUUGACGGGUAGCCGGCCUGAGAGGGUGACCGGCCACAUUGGGCCUGCGAUACGCACCAGUCUGCUAUGGGCGGCAGUAGUCGGGAGUAUUGCACAAUGGGCGGGCGUCUGAUGCAGCAACGCUGCGUGCGGGAUGACGGCCUUCGGGUGGUAAACCGCUUUCGCCUGUGACGAAGCGUGAGUGACGGUAAUGGGUAAAGAAGCACCGGCUAACUACGUG
rnacentral:rRNA from 1 species